UUUUUGCUGUAAUUAACUCUGUAAAAUAUUAAACUUGAUAAUUUUUAUUGUGGUUUUAAAAUCUGCAUAUUUGCUUUACUAUUAUGCUGCUGAUUUUUUUUACUGAAUUUGUAAGAUUUGUUUUUAUCAAAGCACAUAUUAAUGUUGUCAUUACCAUAUCAUGAAUUAUUUAAGAUUUUAUAGGUUUUCAAUUUUUUAAAUUAGAAUUUUUUCCAGAUGUUUUGUUCAUGAUAUCCUUCAAGGUUUUAUGCUUGGUCAUAUAUCCGUAUCUAGGUGGAGAGGGAAAGAAUUCAGUGUAGCCAGCUGUAGUUUUGGGUAUACUACUGUAGUGCUGGCAGUGAAUAAAAUCCUCUUAUUUUGGACACUUGCCUAUAAUAUUUCAGUAAAAGCAGCAAUUAGUAAAUUUUGUUAGAGAAACAGUAUACAACCCUUUGCAAAUUAACCUCAUCUGAAUGGCUUUCCAAACUUAAGAAAACAAAGCAUAUCUUCAAAACUGCAGAAAUUUCUAGCCUAACAAAGGCAUAUGAUGUUUUCUGCAGAAUUAUGGCAUGCCAGAUCUUGUGAUCACCAUAAAACAAGAGGAUACUUCAUGAAUAAUACACUGCAAUGCAAAUAAACUGUUUACUUCUAGCUUGUAGCCUGUCUUUGUACACACAAAACGAGGUGUAUCCAGAAUGUCUAGACUGUCAACAGGGAAAACGAGUAUGCUGUAGCUAUACUUCCAUGUAGUAUGUGAUUCUUGGGAGUUUAGUUUCGUACUUUUUUUUUUUUUUUUUUUUUUUUUUUUAUUAAGGUGAGUACGUUUUGAGGGAGAAGUAGGAGUGGUAAGAAUGCAAUGGGGCAAAACUACAGCCAUUCUUUCAACAGCAAAAGUAACUGAUUGCUAAAAACCAUUAAGCGUUAGAAUGACCUCAGGAUGUAAGAUUUCUGUAGCUAAUGCAUUAAAUGAGCAAUAUAUGCCAUCCAAAGGAGGGGGAAACAGUGCUAUAUAAAUUAGUAUUUAUUUCUUUCACUUCACCAUGAGACCGAUGUAGCAGAAAUCUUAAUAAUGGUUCAUUUUAAGUCGUAAAUAUUCCGCAGUUUUCAGCACUGAAGCUCCAGGUUUCAAUACACUUUUUAAACAAAAGAUAUAUUGAAAUAUGUAGAACAGUUACUAAAUAGUCAUGUAAAAUGGUGCUGCUCCUCACAGAAAUAUUUUAACUGUUUACAUUUUAUGAUUACAUAAUUAUUUAUGUCUAAUUGACUUAAGUUUAUGUAUGAGUUAAACAAUCAUUCAGAAUUUAUUCCUUUAGAAAAUGCAGAUUUCUAGUGAACCUAGGCUGUAUAAUUGAUUGCCUUGUGUAGAUGCAUAUUUUGUGUAGUGAAUUAGAAUGUGAAGAGGAAUUUAAAUUAGUGAUACUCACAGAAAUGAGCCUAAAAAAAUUCAGAAGUCUUGCCAGGCACAGAGCAUAAGCAAAUAAUAUGACUGGCUGCGGCGGUCGUCUAGGAGGAAUGACUGAUGCUCUUCAGUGUUUCCUCUGAGUUUGUUGAGUAAAAUUAGUAUCUUUUUGAAGUUGUUAUUGAAAGAGGAAAAUUUGCCUUUACAGUAUGUUUCAGAAAGGUAUAAGUGAAAGUAAUGCUUUCAAUAUCUAACAGAUGUCUUUUUAAAAAAAAUACAGGAUGACAAGGAAUGAUAAUGUCUCAAAGAUGACUAAAUUGAUAAACUGCACAGUUGUUUUCCUGGCCUGGCUAGACUGCUGGUUGAGUCUAGCCUUUUCACCACUGUGUGCUAGCAAUAGUAACUUCAUCGAGUUGAUAAGCUAUAAGGAGAAUUGAGCUUUGUUCUUUUUAAGGUAGGACUGAUGAAGGUAUGAGACUCUCCAGGGCAGUCCUUGGUGUGAAGAAGUGAGCUGUUGUUGAAGAGCUUAUAUCAGUAAGGUCAGAGCUUUGCCUGUUGGAACCUGUAGUUUGUUUUUGGCACCAUCUUCAUUUUGCAGUUUGUUGUAUGAUAUGCAAAUUAAAGUCAUGGCAAAGUUCAAAGGCAAGCAAAUCACAUUUCUAGUAACCAAGUUAUCACAACAGUAGGCUCUACUUAACUUCCCAUUUUAUUUUUUGAAAUAUAAAAUGAUUUCAGGGAAACACCAUCACAAACAGUAGACAGGUGGGUAGCUAGAGUUCAGCUAUCUUAGUCUAUUGUUCUGUUGUUCACUAUUAUACUAUCUAAUACAUUGUACAGUUUUAUUUUUAAAUUAUUAUUCAGCUUUAUUUUAUUAGACGGACUUUGUUAAAGUGCAUGCAAAUUCCCACUUCUAGAGCCAAUCCAAUCCAUUGAAGUUGGUAGUGAAUGAAUUAGUGAGCUAUGUCUGAUCUCCUAUGCCAGUUGAGCUUUAAUUCCCACCUUCUCUGGUCAGCUGCAGCAGGCAUAAAGGGCAUUCCUCUUGUUUUGUAGCAGCAGGUGCUUUAAGAUUUUUAAACAGACUGAGGAAGAGAGGAAGAAGUUAAUACUGUUACUGUAUGCUGUACCUUUACUCAGUGAGGUCAUUGAUUCAAGACAGGAGGGUCACAUUUGAGGGGUUUGCGUGUGUUUGCACAUUUGAGCAGCUGGACUAUCAAAGCAGCACUGAGCAGUUCAACAGCCUGAGACUAGCCUGACUGCCCAGCUCCAUUUCGCUCAUUCUGCUAAACUGAAUAGUGCUGUGUCUAUGCACACUGCAUAGGCAGUCUGCAGCCUGGGUGUUCAGUUUAGAAGCGCCUUACUGCAUAUAAGUAAGUGAUACUAUCUUUUUGAUAAGAAAUCCUGCUAGAUACAAAGAUGAUAGCAGCAUAAAUUGCCUGUUAACACACAUGCAAACACACACAAAUUUCUUAGGCUAUAGUGUGUUUAUUUGUGGCAGUUGUGGCAAUGGCACCCUCUACUGGCUUAGUGUUAAAAAAAAAAAAAGAAUGUUACUGACGUAUGGGUUUGUUUUAUGGAAGAUUGCUUCUUUCAAGACAGAAGCUAUUCAAUUAGAAAGCAAAAAGCUAAGCACUUUGACAGACAUUUGCAUUAUUAUAAUGAUCCUGCAUUAAUGUAUGUGGCAUUCAUCACAACACUGGAUGAAGAAAAAACAACCAAAAAGCUAGUACAAGAGAAUAGGUUUCUACCCAUACAAUAAUACAAAACAUCUGAGAUGAUUAAACAUAUCCCAAUUAAGUUUAUGGGUAAACUGGGAAAGAAGGUUCAGUUUAUCCUUGGUCUUAUUGUUUAAAUAUCUAAAGACAGUGAAUUACUGGUCCUAGAUAUAUUUUUACUUGCUGUUGACAGCAGAUCAUUCAUGCUGUUACAUUUUAUUUUCCUACUGAUGAUUUGAUUUACCUGCUUUGCCCUACAUACUUAGUUUGACGAUUAGGGUUGAAGCAGAGAUGUCUGCAUUUUUCAUUAGAAUUAAAAAGAAAGUUUUAAUAGAGAAAUGUGGUGAGACUCAACUGCCUAUCCAGCUUUUCCAAUUCACUUAAUUUAUUCUUAGUUAAGGGCACUGGAUAAAAGUGAUAAUGUAAGUAAGUAAGUGAUCUCUUUCCCUUCCUUCUCCUCUUCCUUAGAUCUCGCUGCAUUACAGAAAUGUGUUAUGAAUCAGAUCACUUCACAUGGUGUUUCCACUUUCACAGUUAAAAAUUUAAGCUAGGUUUUUUUCUCGAACUACCUCACACAAACUUUCUACGUUUAAGCAAGCAAAGCUAACCCUUGCUAUUGGAACUACACUGAAUGUGAAAUAGAAAAAUACACUUCCUUUAGAAAAACCUAUUGGUCAAGGUUGAGACAAUAUCAGUAAGUAUGUUUCUUAUAUAUUUCACGUAAGAUGUUCAUGUGUAAUAUAUAGCUCGUGUACAAUAAUGUACAUCUAGAAUAUUGUGUUAGCUGUAAAUUGGUGAUUUUAUUAUUGUAGUCUGGUUUUGUAGGUAAAAUAGCUUACUAGUAACGUCAGCUCAUCCUUUACAUUUUACAAAAGGAAUAAUUCUUGGUAAGCUUUGCAUACAGAUGAAUUACUUUUGUAGGCCCAAUAUCUAGUCUAUUUUUGAGAGUUCUUUAACUUUUAUUACUAAAGUUGAGAAAAAAAGACAUAGUUAUUGUGACCAUUUCUCUUGCCCCUUUUGAAGUAUAUUCUUAAUUUUAUUUUGUCGCAAGAAAUAUGAAGGAAAAGACACACCAUUAAAAAUACUGGGAAAAACUGUGAUUUUUUUUUUCUUCCCCACAUUUGAUACCUUUUCCUGCUUUUCCUUUAUUCCCUCCAAAUAAGCAGUUGGUGGGGCAUUACUGAGAACAUUGUGUUUUUUUAAAUCAUUCAUGCCAUAAGUCAUUACCUGUGCACCACUGGAAUGUAUACAUUGUUAACUAGUAUGUCAAUUGGCUAUAAUGAUAUUUUAAAUAAAAAAGGAAAAAUUUGUUUGA